UACGUAGGGGGCAAGCGUUAUCCGGAUUUACUGGGUGUAAAGGGAGCGUAGACGGCUUUGCAAGCCAGAUGUGAAAGCCCGGGGCUCAACCUCGGGACUGCAUUUGGAACUGUAUGGCUGGAGUGUCGGAGAGGCAGGCGGAAUUCCUAGUGUAGCGGUGAAAUGCGUAGAUAUUAGGAGGAACACCAGUGGCGAAGGCGGCCUGCUGGACGAUGACUGACGUUGAGGCUCGAAAGCGUGGGGAGCAAGCAGG
rnacentral:rRNA from 1 species